GACGGAGGAUGCAAGUGUUAUCCGGAAUCACUGGGCGUAAAGCGUCUGUAGGUGGUUAAAAAGUCCACUGUUAAAGGUUGAAGCUUAACUUCAAAAAUGCUGUGGAAACUUUUAAACUAGAGUAUGGUAGGGGUAGAGGGAAUUUCCAGUGGAGCGGUGGAAUGCGUAGAUAUUGGAAAGACCACCAAUGGCGAAGGCACUCUACUGGGCCAUUACUGACACUGAGAGACGAAAGCUAGGG
rnacentral:rRNA from 1 species